CAAGCUGUUAAAAACCUGAAAAUCAACAUCCGAGGAGCUACCUACAACACCACGACAACCCACAAACAACCAUAGCUCCCUCCCACUUUCCGUGGCGGAAGCUCCUCCACAAACACAACAAUAAGGUGGACUUUACAAAUCCCUUUUCGUAUAUUCCAAUCUUUAACGCAUAAUAAUCCUUUCAAUUGCCCAACCCAUGGCCACCACCAGCAGCAGCUCCAGUAGCAACAGCAAGAAGGAAAAUCAAGUUCUUAUAUUGGGUCGGUACGAAAUUGGGAAAUUACUAGGCCACGGUACAUUUGCAAAAGUGUACCUUGCUAGGAACAUCAAAACCAACGAGUGCGUAGCCAUAAAGGUGAUUGAUAAAGAAAAAAUCCUCAAAGUAGGACUAAUUGCCCACAUAAAACGCGAGAUCUCGAUCCUGAGAAGAGUUAGGCAUCCAAACAUUGUUCAAUUAUACGAAGUUAUGGCAACCAAAGCCAAAAUCUAUUUCGUGAUGGAGUAUGUGAAAGGUGGAGAGUUAUUCAAUAAGGUUGCUAAAGGCAGGCUUAAAGAAGAAGUUGCUCGAAAAUAUUUCCAGCAAUUAAUUUCAGCAGUGGCAUUUUGUCACGCCCGUGGGGUGUACCAUAGAGACUUAAAGCCAGAAAAUAUAUUAUUAGAUGAAGAUGGGAAUGUUAAAGUGUCUGAUUUCGGUCUAAGUGCUAUUUCUGAACAGAUAAAGCAAGACGGGUUGUUCCAUACUUUCUGUGGUACCCCUGCUUAUGUUGCACCUGAGGUUUUGGGUAGGAAAGGAUAUGAUGGGGCUAAAGUUGAUAUUUGGUCAUGUGGGGUCAUACUUUUUGUGUUAAUGGCAGGGUACUUACCAUUUCAUGACCAGAAUGUUAUGGCUAUGUAUAAGAAGAUUUACAAAGGUGAAUUUAGAUGUCCUAGAUGGUUUUCCUCUGAAUUGGCUCGUUUCUUAACUCGACUUCUUGAUACAAAUCCUGAAAGGCGGAUCACAAUUCCGGAGAUAAUGAACAAUAGGUGGUUCAAAAAGGGGUUUAAACAUGUGAAAUUUUAUAUAGAGGAUGACAAGUUAUGUAGCAUAAAUGAUGAUGUGGAUGAUAAAGAAGGAGUUGAUUCUUCGUCUGAGCUGUCAGAGUCAGAGUCUGAAAUGGAGAUAAGAAGGAAGCCGCCUAGUUUGCCUAGGCCUGCUAGUUUGAAUGCAUUUGAUAUCAUUUCAUUUUCGCGUAGUUUUGACUUGUCUGGUUUGUUUGAUGAUGGAGAGGAUGGAGGGAGGUUUAUAUCGGGGGCUCCGGUGCCUAAGAUCAUAAGUAAAUUAGAAGAAAUUGCUAAAGUUGUGAGCUUUGCAGUGAGGAAGAAGGAUUGUAGAGUGAGUUUGGAGGGGUCUAAGGAGGGUGCAAAGGGACCUUUGACUAUUGCAGCUGAGAUAUUUGAGUUGACACCAUCUUUGAGAGUUGUUGAGGUGAAGAAGAAAGCAGGAGACAGAGUGGAGUACGAGGAGUUUUACCAUAAGGAAUUGAAGCCUGGGUUACAAAAUCUGACGCUUGAAGUUGACGGUCCUGUCGAUUCAUCGCAUUUGCCUUCAGAUACUGAGUAGAAAGAAAAAGAAGAGAAAAAGGUUGCACUAGGAAGUUUCUUUCAGCAGUUAACCAAUACCAAUGGCAAGUCUUCUGUGAUGAUCUCCCAAGGUUGUUAGUUGUGAACCUUUAACAACUGGCCAGGGAGAACUCCUAAAUUCCAAAAAAUAACCAUAUGGCAACCUGGAUCCAAUGAGGGCUAAGCAAAGCCAACAAGCCGUAGGCCUCUAGCACUUCAUCACCAUUGAUGUUCUGGGAUCAAGAUUUACCAGGUUCAACUCUGGCCACUGAGAUUCUGGUUCCUUGUCUAAUCGUAUGUAGUCCAUGUACUGGUAGUUGUCGCAUAAGCUAGUUUUGUUCUCUCUUCAUGAUCUAGUUACUUGAUUUUUUUACUUGUAGAUGAGGAAAGAAAUAAAAGCGAAAAACGAAUAGUUCUCAAAAUAAUGUUAUUGGUUACGAAAGCCAUUCUCAGUAAUCCGACAGCAGUCUGUGAGUAAAUAGUAAUUGUGAGGUGAUUUACUUCUUCUUGCUGAAACUGUGUCUUCUAACCUAGUUUCUCAUGCAUGUCAGAUUAAUAGAACCAAUUUGUGGUUAAUUUUUCCAUAAGGGAUAAUGGGGCUGGUGAUAUCUGCUUCCAUAAAUGGCAAUACUAAGACUUGUUUACGUAUUAGUUUAAGAAAAAUAGAUAUUGUUGUCCUGUUGAUGUUUCUUUCUGAAGUUGGUUAAAAAGGGCAGUCCGGUGUACUAAGCUCCUGCUAUGCGCGGGGUCCAGGGAAGGGCCGGACCACAAGAGUGUAUUGUACGCAACCUUACCCUGCUUUUUUACAAGAGGCUGUUUUCACAGCUCGAAUCCGUGACCCCCUGGUCACAUGGCAACAACUUUACCAGUUACACCAACGCUCCCCUUCUAUUUAUGAAGUUGGUUGUUACGUGAAAAACAAAAGCAAGAUACAUUGUACUUUUUUUUUUGCAAA